AAAGUUGGAAGACCUAACGAGAAGGCUAACAUAGUUAAUAUUUUGAUACUGUUUUCAAGUGCAAUAUUUAAGAGAAGCAAAAUAUGAAGAAUUAUUAUCAGGAAACUGAAAAAUUUAAGAAAGAACAUGUUCACUGAAUGAUAAAACCUCUGUGUUUCAAUAUCAUCUAUGUUGUCGAUUACCACAAAAUGUGUUAUAUUUAAGAUACGGUAGCUGUUGUAGAGCAUAGUAUCGAUUUUAGUUAAACAGAGAAGAAAAACAUAUCAAUAAAUAAUUCUUUCCUGCCUGCCAGAAAUAAUCAAGAUUCUCUAUCGACUUGAUACUCGAAGUUCCAGACCAAAUGUCUGUAUUGCAUUUGAAAAGAAAAACUUCCUUCUGAAUGAAACAUAAUGGAUAUUAAGCAAAUUAAAUUUGUUGAAGUUCUUGAGAUGUGGACAUAUAAAUAGUAAUGGACUUUUUGGGGAGUUCUAUGACGAAAUAGGAUGAUGCAUAAAAAGAAAUGUCCUAGUACGUAUCUAUGUUUAAUUAGUAGUUAAUACUUUUAUAAUCACUCU